CAGAAGUAUAGAAGGGAAAGAUUUAUCGGUAAGAGAUCAGCUUGUACAGUAUCAGUUAGUUGGUGGGGUAAUGGCUUACCAAGACUAUGACGCUUAACUGGUUUGAGAGGAUGAUCAGUCACACUGGAACUGAGACACGGUCCAGACUCCUACGGGAGGCAGCAGUGGGGAAUAUUGCACAAUGGACGAAAGUCUGAUGCAGCAACGCCGCGUGGAGGAUGACACAUUUCGGUGCGUAAACUCCUUUUAUAUGAGAAGAUAAUGACGGUAUCAUAUGAAUAAGCACCGGCUAACUCCGUGCCAGCAGCCGCGGUAAUACGGGGGGUGCAAGCGUUACUCGGAAUCACUGGGCGUAAAGAGCAUGUAGGCGGAUUGAUAAGUUUGAAGUGAAAUCCUAUAGCUUAACUAUAGAACUGCUUUGAAAACUGUUAAUCUAGAAUGUGGGAGAGGUAGAUGGAAUUUCUGGUGUAGGGGUAAAAUCCGUAGAGAUCAGAAGGAAUACCGAUUGCGAAGGCGAUCUACUGGAACACUAUUGACGCUGAGAUGCGAAAGCGUGGGGAGCAAACGGGAUUAGAUACCCCGGUAGUCCACGCCCUAAACGAUGCACACUAGUUGUUGUGAGGCUAGACCUUGCAGUAAUGCAG
rnacentral:rRNA from 1 species